AUACGGAGGGUGCGAGCGUUAAUCGGAAUUACUGGGCGUAAAGCGUACGUAGGUGGUUUGAUAAGUCAGAUGUGAAAGCCCUGGGCUUAACCUGGGAACUGCAUUUGAUACUGUCGAACUAGAGUUUGGUAGAGGGAAGUGGAAUUCCGGGUGUAGCGGUGAAAUGCGUAGAGAUCCGGAGGAACAUCAGUGGCGAAGGCGGCUUCCUGGACUAAAACUGACGCUGAGGUACGAAAGCGUGGGGAGCAAACAGGAUUAGAAACCCCAGUAGUCC
rnacentral:rRNA from 1 species